CUCAAUCAAUCAUGACACUUUCAUGUAAAAUCUUUAGUAUUGUGAGCCCUUAAAAGGGACAGAAUUUGUGCACUCAAGAAGCUCGGAUUUUGAGAUGUUAGUCUGCUGAUGCUUCCAGCUGACUAAAGCCACUUCCUCCACUCCCUCAGUGUCUGUGAGGUUUUGUCUGCAGCUCAUCCUGCUACAUUUCUUGUUUCCCUGAUCAGGAAGCGAGGUAACUGACGGACGGCUGAGGCAUCCCCUUAGGCAGCUUAGGCCUGCUCUAUGGAGCAUCCCUGUGGGAGACUCUGGCCUGCCUUAGUGACGUGAUCCAAAGAGUGAUCCCAGGUAGGCAAUUGCCCUGGUGGAAUGCCUUGCCAGAGCAGCAUGUGCCAGGCCCACAUGGAGGAUCAACGCAGUGGCUGAACACAAGGGAGGAACUGGCACUUGGAGUGCAGACAUCUGAAACUUGUAUUGGAUAGCCCUGUUGAACAUAGCUGUGUGGAGGUGUUGGACUGAGUCCAUUCUAGCAGAUCCAAUCUUUGAUACCAGCCAUGGGCAUCAGUGGACUGGGAGUUAUACGUGGACGGGAGCAGCUUCAUCAAUCCACGAGGAGAAAGAUGUGCCGGAUAUGUGGUGGUAACCUUGAAUAAUGUUAUUGAAGCCAAGCCAUCGCUCAGGGCACUUCAGCCUAGAAAGCAGAACUCAUUGCUUAAACUUGGGCUCUAGAACUCAGUGAAGGUAAGACUGUAAACAUUUAUCCUGACUCUCAAUAUGCCUUUCUAACCCUUCAAGUACAUGGAGCAUUAUAUAAAGAAAAAGCCCUGUUAAAUUCUGGAGGAAAAGACAUAAAAUAUCAACAAAAAAUUAUGCAAUUAUUAGAGGCAGUGGGAAAGCCCAAAAGGUGGCAGUCAUGCACUGCAAGGGACAUCAGCAAGCUUCUACCUCAGUAAGCCAGGGAAACUCCCGAGCAGUCACAGAGGCACGAAAAGCAGCGUCUACUCCUUACUGGGCAUCAGUCACAGCCUUCCUGCUCCCUCAAACACCUGAUCUGGUGUCUACUUAUUCUAAAGAGGAAAAAGACUUUCUUCAGGCAGAGGGAGGACAAGCAAUACAAAAAGGAUGGAUAAAGUUACUAGAUGGGAGAAUAGCUGUACCACAGCUGCUAGGAGCCACAGUCACGCUGGCUGUACAUGAAACUACCCAUUCAGGCCAAGACUCACUUGAAAAGCUGUUAAGCUGGUAUUUCUAUAUCUCACACUUGCCAGCUCUUGCUAAGACAGUAGCACAGUGAUGGGUUACCUGAUGACAGCAUAAUGCAAAGCAAGGCCCCUCUGUUCCUCCUGGCAUACAAGCCUAUAGAGCAGCUCCUUUUGAAGAUCUUCAAGUGGACUUCACAAAGAUGCCCAAAUGUGGAGGUAACAAGUAUUUACUGGUUCUAAUGUGUACUUAUUCUGGGUGGGUAGAGGCUUAUCCAACAUGAACUGAAAAAGCUUGUGUAGUAACCCGUGUGCUUCUUUGAGACCUCAUCCCUAGGUUUGGACUGCCUCUACGGAUCGGCUCAGAUAAUAGGCCGGCAUUUGAGGCUGAUGUAGUACAGAGACGGCAAAGAUAUUGGGAAUCACUUGGAAGUUACAUGCUGCCUACUGACCUCAGAGUUCCGGAAAGGUGGAGUGAAUUAAUCAGACUAUUAAAAAUAGGUUAGGGAAAGUAUGUCAAGAGACAGGAUUAAAAUGGAUGCAGUCCCUUCCUAUAGUAUUGUUUAAAAUUAGUUGCAUCUCCUCUAUGAAAAUAGGAUACUCCCCUUAUGAAAUAUUAUAUCACAGGCCUUCUCCUAUACUGUGAGGACUUCCAGGUACUCUGCAAGAGUUGGGUGAAAUUGAAUUGCAGCAACAGCUACAGGUCUCAGGGAAAAUUACCCUGUCAAUCUUAACAUGGAUAAAUGAGAAGUGCCCAGUCAGCUUAUUCUCCCCAGUUCACCCUUUUUCUCCAGGUGACCAUGUGUGGAUCAAGGACUGGAAUAUAGCUCCUUUGUGGCCAUGGUGGAAGGGACCCCAUACCAUUAUCCAGACCACUCCCACAGCUGUGAAGAUAGAAGGAAUUCCAGACUAGAUUCACCAUAGCUGCAUAAAGCCCACAGCCACUGGAACCUGGGAGGCCAAACCAAGCCUAGACAACCCCUGCAAAGCAACCCUGAGGGGGACGACAAGCCCUGCUCCAGUCACACCCAGAACCGGACUGGUCUACGCAUGGCCAAAGCAUGAGGAAAAUUGUCAUGGGACUUAUUUUCCUUUUAACAUGGAUUUGUGUGGUAAAAGCUUCCACUGCUUCUUCCCACACAGAGGAAUGCUUUCAGUGCAUACAUCAGGUCACUGAGGUUUUUGCAUGAAGAGGAGCAGGAGUCUCGAAGGCACAGCCAGACAAUUUCAAGUUUAUUCUGCUUCAGCUGUCAUAGUGGCAACCCGCACUAAGAGUUUGUCACCAAACUCUCAUCGUUAAGCUUGGAAUGUCUUCAAGUACAAAUGGUUAUGCAAUUUGGGAAUUACCAGUUUAUUUUCCAAGAAGGUAAGAUGCAUCCUGUUGGUGAAUGCAGGACAACCUGGCGGGCCAGGUGCAUAAAUCUUUGACUUCCCCACCAUGACGAGGUUUGGAUAAGACUUCAACCCAGUGAUGGCCAAUGAGACUGGAUGGUGCAGUCUACAAAUAUUCCACUAGCUUGUGGUGGAAUAAAUCAGUGUUGUGUAUUUUCUUUGGUCUUUUCUUCUCGGUGCUCAUGUGAAUGUGCCUAUCUGUUCUAAAACCAGGUCAUUAAAAAUAUGUCAAUAUUUUAAACAUUAAAUAUUUAAAUCUGUUAUAAUUACACAAAUUUACAUGGUUUACAUAGGUUUAUUCUUUUUUUCUUGUUGUUUGUUUUUUUGAGACGGAGUCUCGCUCUGUCACCCAGGCUGGAGUGCAAUGGCGCGAUCUCGGCUCACUGCAAGCUCCGCCUCCCGGGUCCACACCAUUCUCCUGCCUCAGCCUCUCCGAGUAGCUGGGACUAUAGGCACCCGCCACCACGCCCGGCUAAUUUUUUGUAUUUUUAGUAGAGACAGGGUUUCACCGUGGUCUCAAUCUCCUGACCUCGUGAUCUGCCCGCCUCGGCCUCCCAAAGUGCUGGGAUUACAGGCUUGAGCCACUGCGCCAGGCCCAUAUAGGUUUAUUUUUUAAUAUCUAUAAACUUUUUGCUUCUAGUUAGUUCACAGCAGAGGGCAGACUCAUUCUUUUUUGUAACUUAAAGAGUCAAAUUGUUGAUAAAUUACACUUACAGAUAAUGUGCUCUUGAGUUUAUCGCACCUGAAAUUCUCCCAUUGACCUGUAUAUUUUUGGACAUGUAUGUGUACUACUAUAUAUGAAAUAUGAAAUAUAUGUAUCUUUGAUUCAUAUAUGUAUGUAUUCAUAUAUGAUAUGAAUCAUAUCAUUGAUAUAUGUAUGUAUAUGUGUGUAUAUAUAUAAAUAUAUAUAUACUAUUUGUAAUUUCUAUUAUUUUUUCAAGUGACUGUGUGCAUUUUAAAAUUAUUGUCUACUUAGUAUUCUGGAAAAAAAUUUAGAAGACUAAUGCUGUUACAUGCUAUUUUAGAGUGGUUAUGAUCAAAGUCAUAAAAUGAGAAAGUGGUGAACCAGGAUGCAAAUGGAACAUUGACAUACUAAUACAAUUUCACCUAAUGUAUGUAGCCAGAAGUCAGACACAGUCAAGAAGUUGGGAUUUGAAGAUAGAAAUUUUUAAGAGCAAAAGAAGAGACACUAUUCCAUGGAGUUUGCAUUGUGAGUUUAUGAAUGAAUGUAGAAAAUGGUAAUUUGGUCUCCUUCAUUCCUAUGGUAAAUGUCUUCAUUGAUCAUAGAAAAGAGGAUGUUAUUGGAUAUGUGUGUCCAGAUAGUCAUUUAGCUGAUUCUCCAAUCACCAGGCUUGUCACUACCAAUGAAUGAUCCAAAAAAGUUCCACCAUGUGACUGACCAGGCACCUAACACACACUAUAACUUUUGCUAGGAUGUGCAAUUUUGACUUAAGAUGUAGGCUGGGCUUCUACUCUCAUAUUGGCUGAAUCUAAGUAGCACCUGAACAUUGAUCCCAAAGAGAUGAACCCUACUGAAUGUCUUUGUGAAAAAAUGGUAGGGUAAAAUACAUGCAGCAGUACAGAACCUCCAGGCUGGAUGCUGUGGCUCAGGCCUGUAAUCCUAGCAGUUUGGAAGGCUAAAGUGGGAGGUGAGCUUCACUUGAGCUCAGGUGUUUGACACCAG
rnacentral:lncRNA from 10 species